CAUAGCUUUGAAGUGAAAUACUUAUAUUAUGGUCAAGUUUAUCUAUGAAAUGAAUUCUAAUGGAACGUUUAUGAUGUUAAUAUCAUUCUUUAAUGCAGGACUUGAUUGUUGUCAUGUAAAGUCCUCAAGGACUUUAGUAACUAAUAUUUGGUACAUGAACCAACCGAAGUUUUUUCCACCGUAAGAUUUCAAUGCAUCUGAGUGUGUUAGUUAUUUUUCUUGAUAAAUAUCACAAAUACCGAAUACUUUAUGGAUUUAAUUUAUGGAUUUGAUGUUGGCUAUUUUCAGGACAGAUAAUAGUCAAAGAAGGAACCAAUUAUUGUGGAUCUUAGCAUAGCCAUAGCAAUAAUUUGGAUCUUGCCAAGCACUCGAUCAUCCCUUCCUUAAACACAUUUUAAUGAUAUUGUAAUUUGUCAGCAAUGCUAUUAUGAAUUUAUGAUGUAGGGUU
rnacentral:lncRNA from 1 species